UACGGGGGGAGCAAGCGUUGUUCGGAUUUACUGGGCGUAAAGGGCGCGUAGGCGGUCGUGACAAGUCACUUGUGAAAUCUCCGGGCUUAACUCGGAACGGUCAAGUGAUACUGUCGGACUAGAGUACAGAAGGGGCAACUGGAAUUCUCGGUGUAGCGGUGAAAUGCGUAGAUAUCGAGAGGAACACCUGCGGCGAAGGCGGGUUGCUGGGCUGAUACUGACGCUGAGACACGAAGGCCAGGGGAGCAAACGGG
rnacentral:rRNA from 1 species